UGAGAUAGUAAAAAGGGGCUAUAAUUGCUAUAGCAUGCAUGAUGUAUACUAUUCCCACAAACUGUACCAAGCUGUACAGUGACAGCAUUUAUGCCAGAAGUGAGGAGUUGAUAUACCAGCCAAUACCAAAAUUACUGAUAUUAUCAGUAAACUAGGCUGACUAGCUUUAGUCUUGCCGUGGAAGAACAAUUGGAAUGAACAUUGUACUAUUGUGUUCACAUUCAAAUGAGCAAAUAUUCAUUGUAGGUUGUAGUGCUACAUGUCAUGUGAUAGCCAUCACCCCUGCUGUUGUUGUAUCACAGGAAGUGACCAAUCAAGUUAAAACUGGUCUGCAUUCAGGUCUAGUUUCAACGGUUUUGCUGGAAUUUAGCUAUGCUAUUAUAUUUAUUGUAUCACACAAGAUAAAACUUUAAAAAGUUUCACAGUUGUUUAUUUCUUCAGCGUGGUUCUCGUAACAUGUACUGAUGUACUUCCAUGUUUAAAUCUCGUACGUAGCACGUCAGCUGCACGUGAAUAAAUUACUGGCAAUUUCCCGCCAAGUAAACAAAGUAAAAUGUUCGCCCAGGAUAAACUCGAGUAUAAAGUAUUAUAAAAGUGCAAAUAAAAUGUCGUUCAAUCUGAACGCUUUGCAGCAAUAAACGACAUUAUAAUAUUAUUGUAGAUUUCAUUAGGUAAAGCACAGUGGGUAAAGACUAAAGUGAUCAUUUAACGUAUGUUUUUGUAUAUACAUGCCAUGGACUAUAUCCACACGGCACACGCCACAAUUCACAAAUGACAUUUUUAUGUCGUUGACAUUGGAAAAAUCCAAUCAGUUUCUGCGUUACAGUUGUGUGCAAUAAAAUAAUGGACUAGCUUCCUAGCUGUGUGAAAAAGCAUUAGCUUUUCGGUCCAAUAAGCACAAUAUUGUCUGCUAUAAUUGUGGACAUGCAUGCCAUGAGGCAUGCAUGACCUUGACGUGGCGCCCAUGCAGCACAACAAUGGCGUCUCUCGGUACUUUCCCAAGUUGCUGAAGCAACAAUGUGGUCGUUGACCAUGUGUACCUUUUGCCUUUACUCGUUAGGCUUUGGACAGGGUAGUUGGCGUCCUGUUUCUUGGUUUUAUAGGCCUUUCCACAGCCAUUGCCUUCUUGCUUCAUUCCCCGUUUAAUUGGCUUUGUAUGGCCGUUGUUGGCCUCGUCAGAUAUUUUGCCCGUUGGGCUUUAUAUGGGCGUUGGCCUCAUAUGCCUUAAUAAGGCUUUAGUUUCACUUGCUCAUCUUAGGAGCGGUCUGUAUAGACCAUAGGUAGCUUUUCCCCAUUGUGGGUGUACUGGGUUGCUUGUAUUUGCCGCUCAACUCUGGAGCACAAGCGUGAAUUUUGUUUGUGGCUGCCCGCCAUUGCAGGUCAUCAUUUAUAUAUUUAUUGCCCAUUUGAUUCGUUUUUCCCUAAACGAGAAUAAGAAACAAAACAACAAAAUAGCAAAAUAACAAAACAAUAUACUCCCUGUUUGCCUUGUGCAAAAAUUAUGUUCAACAAACCGAUGAUGAUGAACGAUUCUUUACGAUUUACUCGCAUAAAUUUCUUCACGUUGUUUAUGCCCAGAAAGACGCAAGCACAAAUUGCCUAGAUAGCUCGCGCGCGCUCUCUCAUGUAAUUCCGUAGUGACGUAGACUGAUGACGUAGUAGAAUUAAGUCAUACCGAAGCUACUAAGGUUGUUGAAUUCAUACUGGAGCUAUGAAUGUGACCUUAUUCAUACUGGAGCUAUGAACUUGAAGGUACUGACCAUUGUGGAGGUAUGCCUUGGCAGAAUUGUCAUGGCUAUCUCUUUUUGCUGCUAAUAUUACUGAUUGUUGCUCUCAUUGUUGCUGCGCAGCUGCUAUGGCAAUACUUCUUGCCAUCAAGGCUAGUUGCGGCCUUGGACCACAAACGGCACCUACCUCCAAACACUAAUACUCUGCCGUUAAAUGUGGUUAAACAUAUUUAAGCAAGGUUAACGGCGGAUGUAUUAUGCAUGCUACAUCCGCUGAGGGGAGUCCGUGACGUCAUAUCGAUCAAAGGGGGUUGUUUCGCGCCUUGUGAUCAUUGCUUUGGUCUGGGUAUUCAUUCUGCCAUUGUAUGCUUUGCCUAGUUGCAGCAAGUUUAGCGCCUCGUUACUUUUUCCCCACCCACCCACCCAUGAUAUUUUAGAGGAUUUUAUCUGGUAGUCUGUCGGUUUUUUCGGGGGGUUGUUUCGUUGUUUUUUUGUUUGUUGUUUUUUUUUAUAUAGUUUUUAACCUCACAGGAUAUAGGAUGUAUAGACCACUAUACAUUGUAUUUCGUUUCCACUGACUUGUCAGUGUGACUGGUGCCGGAGGUAUGCCUUGGCAGAAUUGUCAUGGCUAUCUCUUUUUGCUGCUAAUAUUACUGAUUGUUGCUCUCAUUGUUGCUGCGCAGCUGCUAUGGCAAUACUUCUUGCCAUCAAGGCUAGUUGCGGCCUUGGACCACAAACGGCACCUACCUCCAAACACUAAUACUCUGCCGUU
rnacentral:lncRNA from 1 species